AUUGAACGCUGGCGGCAUGCCUUACACAUGCAAGUCGAACGGCAGCACGGGAGCAAUCCUGGUGGCGAGCGGCGAACGGGUGAGUAAUACAUCGGAACGUGCCCAAUCGUGGGGGAUAACGCAGCGAAAGCUGUGCUAAUACCGCAUAAGAUCUACGGAUGAAAGCAGGGGAUCGCAAGACCUUGCGCGAAUGGAGCGGC
rnacentral:rRNA from 1 species